rnacentral:rRNA from 1 species
UCAGGACGAACGCUGGCGGCGUGCUUAACACAUGCAAGUCGAACGGAAAGGCCCUUUCGGGGGUACUCGAGUGGCGAACGGGUGAGUAACACGUGGGUGAUCUGCCCUGCACUUUGGGAUAAGCCUGGGAAACUGGGUCUAAUACCGGAUAUACCUCAUGGACUGCAUGGUUUGUGGGGGAAAGCUUUUGCGGUGUGGGAUGGGCCCGCGGCCUAUCAGCUUGUUGGUGAGGUUAUGGCUUACCAAGGCGACGACGGGUAGCCGGCCUGAGAGGGUGACCGGCCACACUGGGACUGAGAUACGGCCCAGACUCCUACGGGAGGCAGCAGUGGGGAAUAUUGCACAAUGGGCGCAAGCCUGAUGCAGCGACGCCGCGUGAGGGAUGACGGCCUUCGGGUUGUAAACCUCUUUCAGCAGGGACGAAGCGAAAGUGACGGUACCUGUAGAAGAAGGACCGGCCAACUACGUGCCAGCAGCCGCGGUAAUACGUAGGGUCCGAGCGUUGUCCGGAAUUACUGGGCGUAAAGAGCUCGUAGGUGGUUUGUCGCGUUGUUCGUGAAAACUCACAGCUCAACUGUGGGCGUGCGGGCGAUACGGGCAGACUUGAGUACUGCAGGGGAGACUGGAAUUCCUGGUGUAGCGGUGGAAUGCGCAGAUAUCAGGAGGAACACCGGUGGCGAAGGCGGGUCUCUGGGCAGUAACUGAC